CCUAUUGGACCACCAUCAAUGUUUUUUUUUUUUUCGUUCGAUCGGUGGUAUGUGUGUGUUCGUCGGACUUCUCGAUUCUUCCACCCACCGCCAAAUAACCUCCUCCAUAGAGGGUCUUUCUUCCAUACCCACCGAUAUUAUACGCUUCUAUUCGACUGAUACCCAUUCCGCCGCUUCACCGUUCUCUCUCAGAUUACCAUCCACCUCCACCGGGGUUAGUUAAUCCCUCUGAUCAGUGAACAUUCUAACUUUUACUUUUGAACUUUUAGCUUCCAUUAGAUCAAGGUGGUGGUGAGGGGACGAAGCAGGUGUGUUGCUGGUCGAUCCACAAUGAGUGUGAAGCUAGACCUACUUCCAUUGACUGAUGGCAUUAUUACUCUAAAUUCUUUACAAGCUAACGUUGAAAAAGAUACAAAAACGAUCCAAAAAUCUUGGCUAUGACAUACUCAGGCUGACAGGUUAAAUUUUAUAUCUAUAGCAAUAGUUACUAUUCCUGAUUCCAUUCCAAUCUUGUGUUUGACUCUGGAAUUGGAAUGAUGGCAAGUCAAAGGGAAUAAACACAUACACUGCUGUGGAGAAAUGGAACACACAACUUAGGAUCUAGGAUCUGGACCUCAUGUAUCUGAUGAGUAACUGCAUCGAGCUUCAUUAAGAAAAUGAAGAGAAAGCUGGUAAAAGUGAUAAUGUAUGUUCUUUUAAUAGUUGAACCAUAUCAACUAGGUGUGAUCGUUUUCCAAGUAAAUCUGCCUCAAACAAUAUUUUAGUCAUUCUAUCACAUCAUAGUUAUUUUUGAUUUUCUUAAAAUAGUUGAUACCAUGUAUUAAAGAUACAGCAUAUCCUUAGAGACAGUUUUUCCUUAAGGUUUUUUAUACUAAUUCUCAUAUUUGCAUAUUGAAUUUUUUUGUCUGUGGGGAUGAGGUCCUCUUUUUUGACAGGAUAUUCUGAGCUCUGUUUAAACUUCCCUUUUCUGGUACCAAAAAAGACUUGAAGAGAAAUAUGACAUGAUCCCUUCUCUUGAGGAGCUUCAUGUUUUAGAAUCAGAGUGGUUUAAGGUCAAUGUUGUUGUUUUUGAUAUGGAUAAAGAUAAGGUGUUAAUGUUACAGCAAUUGACUUUGACUAUGGCAAAAGGAUUGUAAAAAUGUAAAAGAUCAUCGAUACUUUCCAUGGUUCCCUUCUA